AAUGAACGCUGGCGGCAGGCCUAAAACAUGCAAGUCGAACGCCCUAGCAAUAGGGAGUGGCGCACGGGUGAGUAACAUGUGGGAAUAUGCCUUUUGGUACGGAACAACGUUUGGAAACGAACGCUAAUACCGUAUGGUCCCUCCGGGGUAAAGAUUUAUCGCCAAAAGAUUAGCCCGCACUAGAUUAGCUAGUUGGUAAGGUAAUGGCUUACCAAGGCGACGAUCUAUAGCUGUUCUGAGAGGAAGAUCAGCCACACUGGGACUGAGACACGGCCCAGACUCCUACGGGAGGCAGCAGUUAGGAAUAUUGGACAAUGGGCGCAAGCCUGAUCCAGCCAUGCCGCGUGAGUGAUGAAGGCCUUCGGGUUGUAAAGCUCUUUAGCCGACGAAUAUAAUGACUGUAGUCGGAGAAUAAGCCCCGGCUAACUUCGUGCCAGCCGCCGCAGUAAAAC
rnacentral:rRNA from 1 species